rnacentral:lncRNA from 1 species
CCAAUUCUAUGCAUGGCAUUACUAUGCAUGGCCAAUUCUCAGAGUGAUAUGUAGUAAUCUGAUUUCACUUAUUGAACUCCAUGUGAUACUUAAGCCAUUACUCAAAACGGCAUCCUUUCAAUGCAAAAACACUGGAAAAAAAGUCGAAAAACUUCCUAGAUCUAGCUGACAUACACGGAAAAGGCUCAUUACGUUUUAUGCCAAACAAAUGGUCCUAAUCUGUGGGCACAUCUACGAAAUGGAACUGAAA